rnacentral:rRNA from 1 species
UUGAAAGGGAAACGAUUGAAGUCAGUCAUGCCGGUGAGAAUCAACUUUUGGGAAGGGGGAUUUUUCUUGAACCUAACCUUGAAGUGCACUUCUUCGCUUGGCAGGUUAGCGUCGAUUUUGAACGUCAUAAAAUGAUUGGGGGAAGGUAGCUCUUUCGGGAGUGUUAUAGCCCUUAAUUAAUGUGAUAUUUGGGAUCGAGGAUUGCAACGGAUACCUUUUUAGGCUAGCCGCCUGACCUCUGAUUCGAUGUCGGGUUAUAGACAGCACGCUGACUAUGAUCUGAUUAUUGGUCAAAAGGUUAGAGCGAGCAUAAAUUCGUUAAGGAUGUUGACGUA